ensembl:snRNA U6 U6 spliceosomal RNA
GAGCUCAAAGGCCAAACCAGCACAUAUACUAAAAUUGGAAUGAUACUGAGAAGAUUAGCAUAGCCCCUACACAAAGAUGACAUGUGAAAUCCUGAAGCACUCCAUAUGUUU